rnacentral:lncRNA from 1 species
UGAGAGCAGUCCAAAUGUCAGUGGUAAAGUUUCCUUUACUAGACUGAAAAAAAUCAUUUUCAUCAUACCUUUCCUGCAUCAGAUGCCUGGAAAAAUACGGGGCAGAGAUGAAAACUACUUACAGAAGCUUCUAUUCUGGAAUAGAACAGCUAGCAUACUACCAAGACUUUUCAAGGAGCAAGAAUGGAGCUCCCUGGAGAACUGACUGAACAUGGCUUCAGAGGCAGUAUCCAUAGACAUAGAGACAAAAAGUGCCCUCACUUUUACUGUAUUUUGACCUGGACCAGUCUACAUUUAUAUGAAUAGCUACAAAGCAGCUUUCAGCACAAGGCUGUAGGGUAGGUUCAGAUUUGGCCUCUCCAUUAAUUAGUAAGUACCAUUAGCUGGGCAGACAGCUGCCAAAGGGACUUUCUCCACACUCCCAUGAGUUGGUCACAGAGAUGUUACUGUACUUUUUUACUCAUCACCAUGAUUAAUUGCUGCACUUAGUUCAUAAUUUCCCCUGGGAGUUAACCCCUAGCUUGGGAUAAACACUAAGGUUUUGUCAAAUCCUCCCAUUCUAAGAUUGGAAUAUUGUUGCAUCAUCCUGUUGGAUGAUUCAGGAUUUUAAAAGUUCAGAGCACUCUGAUAUUCCGACAAUUAUAUACACAUUGUUUUCAGUCUUCUUCUGCUUUAUGAUCCUUGUUUAUAUUUCUUUGUGUCAUUCUUUUUAGUAAUUAUUUCCAUCGUUUCUUAAGCAUAAACAUGUUCUAACUGGCUGUGCGGUAGUGUUUCAAUAGAGCUCGUCAUUUCUAGGCAAGCUCUUCUAAUAAUAUUUUAUAUUUUUAAUUUAUCUCCUUAUAUUUUGCUGUAAUAUGGGUUUCAUUGAUUUUUAAAAUGAGUUUUGUUUGUUGUAAUAUAAGGUUAAUUCUGUUAUGUGCCAGAAUUAUACAUUUGACAGUUUUCCAUGGAAUUAUUUCAAUUGGCAAAUUAAAUAAACUCAGACUAUAGCCUCAGUAUUAGUAUUCUUAAUGGAUACACUUUUUAAAAGUAAAGACAAAUUCCCUGACCUAAAUAGUUAGGCAGAAAAUGAGACAUGUAAAGUAAAAUCAGUAUUUCGUUUCUUUGAAACUUUAUUGUGACUUGAAACAGUGCAACAAAAUAUCAGUCUAAUGCCAUAUUACUGAUUUUACCAGUGCUGUAAUUUUUAAAUAAUAAAUGUAUACUUUACUGAUUAAUGACUUGAGAGCUGCUUACUCUUCAUCAACGUAAAACUGCUCUUCAAGUUUCCCAUUCCACCUCUGCGGUAUCACUUACUUUCAAUAAGCUCAUCUCUCAUUUAAUUUAAAAUGUAAGGUAGUACAUUCAAUAGCUCUCUACAUCAAUUGUUUUUAACUAGAUUAAUUUAUGCCUAUGUAAGUAUAAAUAAGGCCUUGAAGUUGCUUGCGUGAUAAAUAAUAAAUAAAAUACAAAUUGUUGAACAGAUCAAUGGAAAAGGAAAUAAGAGUGGAUUAAUAAAAUAAAACCAGAAGAUACAAUUAGUUUAAGAAAUGCCUACUGUAAAAUCCCAUUAAAUCACUAGAAGUAGAAUGUAGAUUUGGCUCUGAGCUUCCCAGUAGCCAAAGCAAAAAGAACUGCAUUAUUUGCAAGGUUGACUGUUUUUGUAAUAUGUUUUAAGGUUUUGUUUCACAAAAAACCAUCUUUUCCUGAUAUGAGCAUGAAGAGAUAUUUCUCUUGAGAGUCCUGAUGAACAGCUUGUUACAGGAUAUGAAACACAUUGUCCUCAACGUCACUCUGACAGUAAUUUCGAAGGGAAGUUUCUGUAUUUUUGUUUCUCAAAAACGUGAAUUGUAGCAGUAAUGCCAAAGCAAUAUUCAGUAACACCAGUUUUACAUGUAACCAAAACAAUGGAAUACAAGUUUG